rnacentral:rRNA from 1 species
GGCUCAGGAUGAACGCUAGCGGCAGGCUUAAUACAUGCAAGUCGAGGGGCAGCAUGACCGUAGCAAUACGGUUGAUGGCGACCGGCAAACGGGUGCGGAACACGUACACAACCUUCCUUCGAGCGGGGAAUAGCCCGGGGAAACCCGGAUUAAUACCCCAUGGUAUAUUGAAGAGGCAUCUCUUUAUUAUUAAAGAUUUAUCACUUGAAGAUGGGUGUGCGGCUGAUUAGCUAGUUGGCGGGGUAACGGCCCACCAAGGCAACGAUCAGUAACUGGUGUGAGAGCACGACCAGUCACACGGGCACUGAGACACGGGCCCGACUCCUGCGGGAGGCAGCAGUAAGGAAUAUUGGUCAAUGGACGAAAGUCUGAACCAGCCAUGCCGCGUGGAGGAUGAAGGUCCUCUGGAUUGUAAACUUCUUUUAUCUGGGACGAAAAAAGGUUUUUCUAGACCGACUGACGGUACCAGAUGAAUAAGCACCGGCUAACUCCGUGCCAGCAGCCGCGGUAAUACGGAGGGUGCAAGCGUUAUCCGGAUUCACUGGGUUUAAAGGGUGCGUAGGUGGAUUAGUAAGUCAGUGGUGAAAUCUCCGGGCUUAACCCGGAAACUGCCAUUGAUACUAUUAGUCUUGAAUACCGUGGAGGUCAGCGGAAUAUGUCAUGUAGCGGUGAAAUGCUUAGAUAUGACAUAGAACACCAAUUGCGAAGGCAGCUGGCUACACGAAUAUUGACACUCAGGCACGAAAGCGUGGGGAUCAAACAGGAUUAGAUACCCUGGUAGUCCACGCCCUAAACUAUGGAUACUCGACAUACGCGAUACACUGUGUGUGUCUGAGCGAAAGCAUUAAGUAUCCCACCUGGGAAGUACGAUC